rnacentral:lncRNA from 1 species
CAAAACUGCAUUCUUUAGUGAGUGAGUUCCUGUGGGGUCCUUCAGAGAAGCUGGAAUCAGCAGUUUCAUUGGUGGCUGAUAUGACAGCUCGGUUUUUGUCAUCUGGUUUAAAAGAAUUUAAAUGAGACACACAGCGAAAGAAGUGCAGCAUAGAGUAAUUUAUUGCAAAGGAAAAAGAAUAUUUUGGAAGUUACAUGCAGAAUGGACUGUAUACCGUGAGAGAGAGGGUUCAAGGCAGGCUGCUCAUAAGGGUGAGACAGCAGAGACUGGCAGUAGGGAGACUCCCUUUAUGGGAGUCUUACAUGAUUAUUCAUAAGGUGGUGGGAAGAGGUGUUGCUAGUAAGCAUGUUCCGGGUGGUCUUCUGGGUGCACAUGCACAGUAGCUGUACAUGCUUGUUCAUAUGUCACAUGUCUCAUUAGCAUAUUACAUCUCCAUGUAGGGCUGUCUUCUACUAUUAUAAUGAGCAAAAUGUCAGUUUGAGGACAGGUAAAAUCAAAAUGCUCAUGCUGUCUAUGGGGGAAAUUCCCUAAUGAAGACAGCUUUGCUUGAAUGAGCGCAAUGACAAUGCGAAUGCUGAGGCUCACUGUGUUGACUGUAUGGGUGCCAUGGUCGCUGCAUCCUGAGAACACGGUCACUCCCUUAAGUACCUAUCCUGCCUCAGUUUCAUUGCUACGCAGGACCUGAAAGAAUAUCUCAAAUGGAAAAGUUAACGUUUUAUAAUGUUCCAGUUGUUAUCUAUGAGCAGUGAAGGGGAACUAUGACCUUGUGACAGGGUCUAUGUGACUCUGGAGCAACAGGCAGCAAACAACUCUGAGCAAGUGGGUCAGAGAGCAGCUGACCUCAUGACCAAUGCUGUGUGUGCUGCAAGCUGGGCUGAUUUCCAUUUCGCCCCUCCCUUCUCCCCUGAUUAAUUUUAUAAAGUUGAUAGGGAAGGUUUCAGUGGGAUCUUGGCCACUCUCAUAAAGGAGGCUGUUCUGAGGGGCUGGGAAGGAGGCCUCAUGAGAGGAGGAAGGGCUCCCAGGGAAGGGCUUGGGCCAGGGUCCCUGAUGUUGGGGUGGAGUGGAGGGCAAUAUUAGCUUCAGCAUGUGCAAAGAAGGUGGCUUGGGGGUUCUGAGUGGUUGGGGUGCUACUGUGGGAGGGGGGUCACCUUCAGAGAAGGGGCAACAGGAGGUGGGAAGCCCUGGUAAAGAUUCAAUUCCCCAAGUGGCCCAGAUGCUCUAAAAAUGGCUUGCCUCAGGGACUGUCCACCACCAAAAAAAUCUCAGCACUCUCUCUUGGUAUUUAAUCAGGUAAAGCCCCAGGAUCUGAAGCCCCAGGUUCAGAUCCUGCCUUGCCAUUGGCUUGCAGGAUCUAUGACCUUGGCAAAUGGCUUUGCCCCUUGCCUCAAUUUCUUUUUCUGCAGAAUGUGACAGGAAUGUUCUCUACUUCCUUGGGGGUGUUUAAAACAUUAAAUAAUGAUUAGCUCUAAUAACUAAUACAUUGAAGCCUGAGGCCCAGGGCUCGAUGCAUGAUUGUUAAUUCCUCCCAACAAGAUGGGAUUGUUGUUAUACCCAUUGUAUUGAGGCCUGGAGCCCCUGAGAUACACACACACACACAUACACAGACACACACACACACAUCACGAGGCAUUUGGGAAGUGACUGUCAUGAGGGUGGAACCCUCAUUAAUGGGAUUGGUGCCCUUAUAAAACAGGUUGAAGAGAGCUGCCUUGCUCUUUCCACUAGGUAGGACACAAGAUGGUGCCAUCUAUGAGGAACAGGCCCUCACCAGACACCAGAUCUGUGGGUGCCUUGAUCUUGGAUUUCCUAGCUUCCAAAACUCUUCAGGGACUGGAUCUGGAUAUGGACCAGAUAUCUCUAGCCACCAUGAUGGCACUGGCUCCUUCACCAGAUGAAACAAUACUUCAAAACAAGCCAGUGGAGCAGGUCACGCCACCCGACAACUCCUAGUUCCGCUGCCUCUUCUGCACUCCAAACUCUCUCUUCAAAAGCUCCUGGAUUCCCUCCACAAAUUGAAGAGUGGAAAUAUUUGCAAAUAACUACACUCACUUCUCCCCUUGCUAGCAUGGAUAAUAAAACUCACUCUCUUUAUCACACUUCACUCUUAUUAUAUUGGCUUCUUUUUACAAGUGGCGAGCAGCUGCACCGUUCUACUGAUUACAGGAGGAUCACUUGAGGCCAGGAGUUCGAGACCAGCCUGGGCAACAUAAGACGCUGUUUCUACAAAAAAUUAAAAAUUAGCUGGGCAUGGUGGCAAAUACCUAUAGUCUCAGCUACUCAGGAGGCUGAAGUGGGAGGAUGGGUUGAGCCCCCAGGAGUUUGAGGCUGCAAUGAGCUAUGAUAGCGCCACUGCACUCCAGCCUGGCCAGAGCCUGUCUCUUAAAACAAAAACAACCCCCUGCCCCACCCAUCACUUUGUAUACUUUUUAUUUUUUGAGACAGGGUCUCACUCUGUUGUCCAGGCUGGAGUGCAGUAACACAAUCUUGGCUCACUGCAACCUCCGACUCCCAGGUUCAAGCGAUUCACCCACCUCAGCCUCCCAAGUAGCUGGGACUACAGGUGCACACCACCAUGUGGGCCUGGCAAAUUAUUUUAUUUUUUGGUAGAGAUGGAGUUUUACCAUGUUGGCCAGGCUGCUCUCGAACUUCUGACUUCAAAUGAUCCACCCACCUUGGCCUCCCGAAGUGACGGAAUUACAGGCAUGAGCUACCGUGCCUGGUCCAUGUUAUACACUUUAAAUAUGCUUUUAAAAACCAUGCCCAUUGGACGUGGGUAUUGUUUACGUAGUGGUUCCCUUUAAAAUUAUUCAUGAUGGCCAGGUGCAGUGGUGUAUGCCUGUAAUCCCAGCACUUUGGGAGAGGCCAAGGUGGGAAGAUUGCCUGAGCCCAGGUGUUUAAGACCAGCAUGGGCAACAUAGGGAGACCCCAUCUCUACUUUUUUUUUUUUUUUUUUUUUUUUGAGACGGCUUUUGCCCUUUUGCCCAGGCUGGAGUGCAGUGGCACGAUCUCGGCUCACCACAACCUCCACCUUCCGGUUUCAAGUGAUUCUCCUGCCACAGCCUCCCGAGUAGCUGGGAUUACAGGCGCCCAGCACCACGCUCGGCUAAUGUUUGUAUUUUCAGUAGAGAUGGGGUUUCACCAUGUUGACCUGGCUGGUCUCAGACUCCCGACCUCAUGAUCCCCUCGCCUUGGCCUCUCAAAGAGCUGGGAUUACAGGCAUGAGCCACCACACCCAGCGUUUUUUUUUUUUUUUUUUUUUUUUUUUUUAAUUUUUUUGAGACGGAAUUUCGUUCUUGUUGCCUAGGCUGGAGUACAAUGGCGUGAUCUCGGCUCACUGCAACCUCUGCCUCCUGGGUUAAAGCAAUUGUCCUGCCUCAGCCUCCCAAGUAGCUGGGAUUACAGGCGCAUGCCACCAUACCUGGCUGUUUUUUUUUUUUUUUUCUUUUUUUUGAGAUGGAGGCUGGCUGUCGCCUAGGCUAGAGUGCAGUGAUGUGAUUUCAGCUCACUGCAAGCUCCACAUCCCGGGUUCACGCCAUUCUCCUGCCUCAGCCUCCCGAGUAGCUGGGACUACAGGCACCCGCCAUCACGCCCUGCUAAUUUUUUGUAUUUUUAGUAGAGAUGGGGUUUCACUGUGUUAGCCAGGAUGGUCUUGAUCUCCCGACCUCGUGACUGCCCACCAUAACCUCCCAAAGUGCUGGGAUUACAGGCAUGAGCCACCGCGCCUGGCCAAUUUUUGUAUUUAGUAGAGACAGGGUUUCAUCACAUUGGUCAGGCUGGUCUCGAACUCCUGACCUCAGGUGAUCUGCCCACCUUGGCCUCCCAAAGUGCUGGGAUUACAGAGGCAUAAGCCACCGCACCCGGCCUCUAUUUUAAAAUCAAUCAAUCAAUCAUUAUGGAGCAUGUUAGUUUAAUGAACUUUUCGGUCUGUUUCACCACGUUCACAGCUUGCAUGGGUUGAAAAUAAAAAGAAAAAUGCCUGUCAAAUAACUAAUAAAGACUAACUAGGCUGGGCCCGGUUGCUCAUGCCUAUAAUCCAAUCAGUGUGGUACGCCAAGAUGGACAGACUGCUUGAGCCCAGGAGUUUGAGACCAGCCUGGGCAACAUGGUGAAACCUUGUCUCUGCAAAAAUACAAAAAUUAGCUGGGCAUGGUGGCAUGUGUCUGCAGUCCCAGCUACCCAGGGGGCUGAGGUGGGAGGAUCACUUGAGUCUUGGAGAUCAAGACUGUAGUGAGCCGAGAUCAUGUUACUGCCACUGCACUCUAGCCUGGGUGAGAGAUCCUGUCUCAAAAAAAAAAAAAAAAGAUGAAAUGUCAAGAGGCUGAUAGGUGAUCUGAACCCCUGUGAUGCUUUUUAAAAUUUUUCAUGUUAUUAAAACAUUUUUUUGCCAGGGGCGGUGGCUCACGCCUAUAAUCCUGGCACUUUGGGAGGCCAAGCUGGGUGGAUCACCUGAGGUCAGGAGUUCGAGACCAGUCUGACCAACAUGGCAAAACUCCAUCUCUACUAAAAAUACAAAAUUUAGC